GACAGAGGAAGGCUGUUAUUACCUGUCUUCAGCUCUGAGUUCAAACCCCUCACACCUGAGAGAGCUGGAUCUGAGCUACAAUCACCCAGGACAAGCAGGAGUCCAGCUGCUUUCUGACAAACUGAAGGAUCCAAACUGCUCACUGAAAAUACUCAAUUUGGACCAUGGAGAGCCUUUCAGGAUCCAACCAGGGCUACAGAAAUAUUUCUGUGAUCUCACACUGGAUCCAAACACAGCAAACC